rnacentral:rRNA from 1 species
GAUGAACGCUGGCGGCGUGCUUAACACAUGCAAGUCGAGCGAGUGAGUUCUUCGGAACGAUCUAGCGGCGGACGGGUGAGUAACACGUGGGCAACCUGCCUCAUAGAGGGGAAUAGCCUCCCGAAAGGGAGAUUAAUACCGAAUAAAACUAUCGAGUGGCAUCACACGGUAAUCAAAGGAGUAAUCGGCCAUGCGAUGGGCCCGCGGCGCAUUAGAUAGAUGGUGAGGUAACGGCUCACAAAGGCGGCGAUGCUUAGCCGACCUGAGAGGGUGAUCGGCCACAUUGGGACUGAGACACGGCCCAGACUCCUACGGGAGGCAGCAGUGGGGAAUAUUGCACAAUGGGGGAAACCCUGAUGCAGCAACGCCGCGUGAGUGAUGAAGGUCUUCGGAUUGUAAAGCUCUGUCUUUGGGGACGAUAAUGACGGUACCCAAGGAGGAAGCCACGGCUAACUACGUGCCAGCAGCCGCAGUAA